rnacentral:rRNA from 1 species
CCUACGGGGGGCAGCAGUGGGGAAUAUUGGACAAUGGGGGGAACCCUGAUCCAGUCAUGCCGCGUGUGUGAAGAAGGCCCUCGGGUUGUAAAGCACUUUCAGUGAGGAAGAACGCCUGGUGGUUAAUACCCAUCAGGAAAGACAUCACUCACAGAAGAAGCACCGGCUAACUCCGUGCCAGCAGCCGCGGUAAUACGGAGGGUGCGAGCGUUAAUCGGAAUUACUGGGCGUAAAGCGCGCGUAGGUGGCUUGAUAAGCCGGUUGUGAAAGCCCCGGGCUCAACCUGGGAACGGCAUCCGGAACUGUCAAGCUAGAGUGCAGGAGAGGAAGGUAGAAUUCCCGGUGUAGCGGGGAAAUGCGUAGAGAUCGGGAGGAAUAACAGUGGCGAAGGCGGCCUUCUGGACUGACACUGACACUGAGGUGCGAAAGCGUGGGUAGCAAACAGGAUUAGAUACCCCAGUAGUC